CCCCCACUUCGGUUUGAGACCAUUGCUCCUUGUUCUGUCAUCUGCCACCACUGAGAACAGCAGAGCUCCAUCUUCUCUGGAAUCCCCCUUCAAGGAGUUGAAGGCUGCUAUCAAAUCCCCCCUCACUCUUCUCUUUUGCAGACUAAAUAAGUCCAGUUUC